GACGAACGCUGGCGGCGUGCCUAAUACAUGCAAGUUGAGCGCUGAAGGUUGGUACUUGUACCAACUGGAUGAGCAGCGAACGGGUGAGUAACGCGUGGGGAAUCUGCCUUUGAGCGGGGGACAACAUUUGGAAACGAAUGCUAAUACCGCAUAAAAACUUUAAACACAAGUUUUAAGUUUGAAAGAUGCAAUUGCAUCACUCAAAGAUGAUCCCGCGUUGUAUUAGCUAGUUGGUGAGGUAAAGGCUCACCAAGGCGAUGAUACAUAGCCGACCUGAGAGGGUGAUCGUCCACAUUGGGACUGAGACACGGCCCAAACUCCUACGGGAGGCAGCAGUAGGGAAUCUUCGGCAAUGGACGAAAGGCUGAACGAGCAACGCCGCGUGAGUGAAGAAGGUUUUCGGAUCGUAAAACUCUGUUGGUAGAGAAGAACGUUGGUGAGAGUGGAAAGCUCAUCAAGUGACGGUAACUACACAGAAAGGGACGGCUAACUACGUG
rnacentral:rRNA from 1 species